UCACCGGGCGAACAUCGGCACA
rnacentral:miRNA from 1 species